GACGAACGCUGGCGGCGUGCCUAAUACAUGCAAGUCGACCUUAGUGGCGAACGGGGGAGUAACACGUGGGUAACCUGCCCAUCAGAAGGGGAUAACACUUGGCAACAGGUGCUAAUACCGGAUACUGAUGGAUCGACCCGCUGUGCAUUAGCUAGUUGGUGGGGUAACGGCUCACCAAGGCCACGAUGCAUAGCCGGCCUGAGAGGGUGAUCGGCCACAUUGGGACUGAGACACGGCCCAGACUCCUACGGGAGGCAGCAGUAGGGAAUCUUCGGCAAUGGACGAAAGUCUGACCGAGCAACGCCGCGUGAGUGAAGAAGGUUUUCGGAUCGUAAAACUCUGUUGUUAGAGAAGCGGUAUCUAACCAGAAAGCCACGGCUAACUACGUGCCAGCAGCCGCGGUAAUUC
rnacentral:rRNA from 1 species